UGGGGAAUUUUGGACAAUGGGCGAAAGCCUGAUCCAGCAAUGCCGCGUGUGUGAAGAAGGCCUUCGGGUUGUAAAGCACUUUUGUCCGGAAAGAAAUCCUUGGCUCUAAUACAGUCGGGGGAUGACGGUACCGGAAGAAUAAGCACCGGCUAACUACGUGCCAGCAGCCGCGGUAAUACGUGGUAGGUAGCAGCUGAUUACGGAAUUACUGGGCGUAAAGCGUGCGCAGGCGGUUUGCUAAGACCGAUGUGAAAUCCCCGGGCUCAACCUGGGAACUGCAUUGGUGACUGGCAGGCUAGAGUAUGGCAGAGGGGGGUAGAAUUCCACGUGUAGCAGUGAAAUGCGUAGAGAUGUGGAGGAAUACCGAUGGCGAAGGCAGCCCCCUGGGCCAAUACUGACGCUCAUGCACGAAAGCGUGGGGGAGCAAACAGGAUUAGAUACCCUGGUAGUCCACGCCCUAAACGAUGUCAACUAGUUGUUGGGGAUUCAUUUCCUUAGUAACGUAGCUAACGCGUGAAGUUGACCGCCUGGGGGAGUACGGUCGCAAGAUUAAAACUUAAAGGAAUUGACGGGGUCAUAGCUGUUUCCU
rnacentral:rRNA from 1 species